CCUACGGGUGGCAGCAGUGGGGAAUAUUGCACAAUGGGGGAAACCCUGAUGCAGCGACGCCGCGUGAGUGAAGAAGUAUCUCUAUACGUAAAGCUCUAUCAGCAGGGAAGAAAAUGACGGUACCUGACUAAGAAUCCCCGGCUACCUACGUGCCAGCAGCCGCGGGACUACGUAGGGGGCAAGCGUUAUCCGGAUUUACUGGGUGUAAAGGGAGCGUAGACGGCAGCACAAGUCUGGAGUGAAAUCCCGGGGCUUAACCACGGAACUGCUUUGGAAACUGGGCGGCUGGAGUGCAGGAGGGGUAGGCGGAAUGCGUGGUGGAGCGGUGAAAUGCGUAGAUAUUAGGCAGAACACCGAUGGCGAAGGCGGCUUACUGGACUGUAACUGACGUUGAGGCUCGAAAGCGUGGGGAGCAAACAGGAUUAGAUACCCGAGUAGUC
rnacentral:rRNA from 1 species